rnacentral:tRNA from 7 species
GCGGGGGUGCCGGAGUGGUCAAACGGGCUAGGCUUAGGACCUAGUGGUUCAUCCUUACGCAGGUUCGAAUCCUGUCCCUCGCA